rnacentral:rRNA from 1 species
AGCAGCCGCGGUAAUUCCAGCUCCAAUAGCGUAUAUUAAAGUUGUUGCAGUUAAAAAGCUCGUAGUUGAACUUCGGGGUUUACCCAUUGGUCAGGCUUAAUUGUCUGCACUGGUGAGAUGAAUCUCUACCUUCUGAGGAACUUUUAUGCCAUUUAUUUGGUGUGAUUGGAAAUCAGGACUGUUACUUUGAAAAAUUAGAGUGUUUAAAGCAGGCUAACGUCUGAAUACAUUAGCAUGGAAUAAUGAAAUAGGACGAACUGAUUCUAUUUCGUUGGUUUCUAGGAUCACCGUAAUGAUUAAUAGGGAUAGUUGGGGGCAUUAGUAUUCAAUUGUCAGAGGUGAAAUUCUUGGAUUUAUUGAAGACUAACUACUGCGAAAGCAUUUGCCAAGGAUGUUUUCAUUAAUCAAGAACGAAAGUUAGGGGAUCGAAGACGAUCAGAUACCGUCGUAGUCUUAACCAUAAACUAUGCCGACUAGGAUCGGACGAAGUUAAUUUUAUAAUUGACGCGUUCGGCACCUU